CUUCUUUGAAGUGGAAUGGUAACUUGAAUAAGCACUUUUGACCUUGGCCCACACAUUGUUCUGCUGGAAGGACAGACUCUGCUUUACCUUUGACUGUUUCUUUCUCCUGUGGAAACUGGUUUCUAAAGACAAAGAAGAGACAUUUCUCUAAAAGGACAUUUUGGACACGCGUGGUCCUUGUUAAAUAUACCGGGGCUCAACCUCUGGGAAGUGCUGCAUGUGAGUGGCAUCUGAGGCCUCGGGAAAACUUCCAGACUAAAAUGGGCGAAAGUACGGUUGCCCAAGUUGUAAUCAGCAGGAGCCUGAGACCCUCAACUGAGUCCUGUCUCUCCCCACAAGACCUUUGAGUCUUUCAGCUGACCGGCAGACUCAGUGGAACAGUUUGAAGACCACUGACAACCUGACGUGGCCUGGUGGAAAUCCAUGGAAAAUUGCUUGUGAAGCAAAAUGGACCCAGGAAAACCCCACUUGGACUCCUCAAGGUCUGUGACUGUUUAUUUGCUGCUCCCCUAUCCCAUCCCCCACCCCUUGGGGAAUGGGGAACUUUACUGCACUAAGGAUUGCACCACUGGGGACUCGGCCUUUCCCCUUCAACUUCUCUAAGGGGGACUUUCAGCACAAUAUCUGCUUCAUCCACCUCUGGGUGUACAAAGCUAUUGCACUGGGGAGGGGGACUCUGUUGUAAUUAAGAGUUUGGGCUCUAGAGUCUGCCUGCCAGGGUUCUUAACCCAGGUUCCAGGAUUUGCUAGGUGCAAGAGCCUAGGGCAGUCACUCUCAUUUUGUCCCCAAAUUUCCUCACUGGUGAUAUAGGAACAGUAAUAGCACCUGCCUCACAGGGUUGCUGUAAGGAUUAGGGAUGACUUUCAGUCCCUUAGAGCAACUCCAGGCACAGAGUAAAUGUUUUGUAAAUACUGGAUGUCAUUAGAAACACAUAUUUGCUUGCCUGAUAUAGAACAACUAGCUCAAGUGACUCACUUCUUUUGCUCCUAAUUUUCUGGGUCACCUGAAUUUUCCUUGCUAGCUUCACAUCAAACAUGUGGCCUCUGCAAUCACAUCCAGUACAUGUAUAUGUAGGUUUGAGAAGUACCACCCAAUUUCCAGAUUACAUUGCAUUCCUUCUGUUCUCUAUGCAGCAAAACUCUAAUGACAAUUCCCAGAAGCUUCUAGAAAUUCCAACUUUGAUUGGUGUUUGUUUUCCCAAAGAUACUUUGUUUUUCAACUCCUGUAGUUCCUUUAGCUUGACUUCUCUUUCUUGUAUCAUGAAAAUCUAUAUUUCAAACAAUCUUUAAUUAGUACAAAGAGGACAGGCUACAUAAUUUUCAGGACCCAUUGCAAAAUGAAAAUGUAGGGUACCUUGUUCACAAUGAUUAAGAAUUUCAAGGCAGUGACAGCAGAGCAUUAAACCAAGUGCAGGGCCAUGAAACUGGCCCUGAGUACAAACAUAUUUAAAGUCUUUACUUUCUUUAUGCCACAGUCAGAUAGGAUAUUCAAUUUACACAAUGAGAUUUUGUAACCUGUGAGACCCAGAAACCUGGCCUUUACUGCCUACUUGCUUGUACUCACUAACCUUUGUCUUACAUUUUUCCUUAAGUUCUUCUAUAUGGCUUGCCUCCUAACUCAGGCAAUGAAACCUGAAACCACCACUCAGGUGAUGGCAACCUGACCACCAAGGCCCUUUGAGUUAAAACCCCUGACUUGCACCUGCACAGAUGGACCAUGGAGUGACCACCUCACCACACCCAUGACCAGAAUUGCCUUUAGCCUAUUUUAAUACUAAAAUCUCCACUCCAGACCUCAGCCUUAUUUACAUAACAUACAAUGUAUGUAUAGGCAUGUUUCCUUAAAGUGCAUGUGUGACCUUAUGGCCCCCUUUACAUAUGAUGACAAAUAUUCAUCCUAACUCCAAACAAAAGGCACCCAUUAACCCUCUCUCGGGGAGUCACCACUUUGGAAGCCAUUCCCUGUGAUCUUCUUACUUGCUGCAAAUAAAGUUUUCUUUGUACAACA